UUAGAGGAAGUAAAAGUCGUAACAAGGUUUCCGUAGGUGAACCUGCGGAAGGAUCAUUACUGAAUUUUGAGAAGAGUUGUAGCUGGCCUGCAAGGGCAUUUUGUGCACACUCUGAUCACUAUCCAUCUCAUACCUGUGCACAUUCUGUAAGUUGGCUUAUUGGGASAGGGAGUCUUCAUUGAUUCUUGUUUCAUGGCCCUCUUAUGUUUUUAUCACAUACCACUCAGUUAAAAGAAUGUUCAUUGCGUUUGACGCAUUUAUAUACAACUUUCAGCAACGGAUCUCUUGGUUCUCGCAUCGAUGAAGAACGCAGCGAAAUGCGAUAAGUAAUGUGAAUUGCAGAAUUCAGUGAAUCAUCGAAUCUUUGAACGCACCUUGCGCUCCUUGGUAUUCCGAGGAGCAUGCCUGUUUGAGUGUCAUGGAACUAUCAACUCUAUUGAUUUAGAGCUUGGAUGUGGAGGACAAUUGCUGGAUAUCAAUUCAGCUCCUCUUGAAUAUAUUAGCUCGAGCCUUCUUGUGAAUCAGCUUUGGUGUGAUAAUUGUCUACACCGCUCUGUGAAGCAUUAGUUCGGCUUCUAAUUGUCCCAGCUUGGACAACAUAUUAUGACCUUUGACCUCAAAUCAGGUAGGGUUACCCGCUGAACUUAAGCAUAUCAAUAAGCGGAGGA
rnacentral:rRNA from 1 species